rnacentral:rRNA from 1 species
AUUGAACGCUGGCGGCAGGCCUAACACAUGCAAGUCGAACGAGUGGCGGACGGGUGAGUAAUGUCUGGGAAACUGCCCGAUGGAGGGGGAUAACUACUGGAAACGGUAGCUAAUACCGCAUACCAUCGGAUGUGCCCAGAUGGGAUUAGCUUGUAGGUGAGGUAACGGCUCACCUAGGCGACGAUCACUAGCUGGGCUGAGAGGAUGACCAGCCAGAAGGGAACUGAGACAGGGUCCAAAUGACUACGGGAGGCAGCAGUGGGGAAUAGUGGACAAUGGGCGCAAGCCUGAUGCAGCCAAGCCGCGUGUAUGAAGAAGGCCUGCGGGUUGUAAAGGACUUGCAGCGGGGAGGCGUUACCCGCAGAAGAAGCACCGGCUAACCCCGUGCCAGCAGCCGCGGUAAUAC